rnacentral:tRNA from 1 species
GCGGGCGGACUCCACCUCGGUCAGAGCAUCGCCGCGGUGGUCGGCGGGCUUGAGCGCCGGCUCGAAUCCGGCCGCCCGCG